UACGGGGGGGGCAAGCGUUGUUCGGAAUUACUGGGCGUAAAGGGCUCGUAGGUGGCCAACUAAGUCGGACGUGAAAUCCCUCGGCUUAACCGGGGAACUGCGUCCGAUACUGGUUGGCUUGAGUUUGGGAGAGGGAUGCGGAAUUCCAGGUGUAGCGGUGAAAUGCGCAGAUAUCAGGAGGAACACCAAUGGCGAAGGCAGCUCGCUGGGACGGUACUGACGCUGAGACGCGAAAGCGUGGGGAGCGAACAGG
rnacentral:rRNA from 1 species